rnacentral:rRNA from 1 species
CCCUUAGAUGUCCUGGGCCGCACGCGCGCUACACUGAUGCAUUCAACGAGUUUCUUCCUGGUCCGAGAGGAAUGGGUAACCUUUUGAAAGUUCAUCGUGAUAGGGAUAGACUAUUGCAAUUAUUGGUCUUCAACGAGGAAUUCCUAGUAGACGUAGUUCAUCAGACUGCAUCGAUUACGUCCCUGCCCUUUGUACACACCGCCCGUCGCUCCUACCGAUUGAAUGCUCAGGUGAGCCAUUCGGACUUUCAUCAUGCUGGUUUCCAGUUUUGAUGAAGGAAAGUCUUGCGAACCUUAUCAUUUAGAGGAAGGAGAAGUCGUAACA